rnacentral:lncRNA from 10 species
CCAUAGGUGGAAGGGACUAGCCUUGAAUCAGAUGAGGUUUUGGACUAUAGACCUUUGAGGGAACUGACGUCAUGCCAGUAUUUUCUACACUCACCCAGCAUCAGAAGAGCAUAUAUGUUGAAAGAAAAGGUCAACGUAUUCUGUCAUCCCUGGUUCCAGGUUCCUUACAGCAAAAGCAAUAAAGGAUGCAGGAGUGGUGUUUCCCUCUUCAAUCUCCUACCUUGCCAACCACCCAGCACCUUAGAUACUACAGCGUGGGGCUAGAGACUCAAUCUGGGGAAUUUGCUUUCACCCUGGAGGCAUCAUGACUGAGAAACCAUGAAUGCAAUCAACAAAACAAGAAGAAAUUCAAGUUAUUUCAAACAUAUGAGGAAAUUAUAAAAAGCAACAACAAAAGCAGCAUUAAUAACAAUAUAUGUUGUACACUGUCUUAUUCAAUACUUUAAAAAAAAAUAAAAGGUAAGUGUCAGCAGUUCUCAAAGUGUGAUUCAAGGACCCUAGGGGGGUGUCUGAGACUGUUAGAAAGCUUGCUAGGUUUUCCUUUCCUAACUGUCUUUAAAACUGCAUUUUCUUCAUAAAUUUCAACCAAAACAACAUAUCACAACUGUUUGAAUGUGGAUACAUAUAUGAGAAUCUAGCUUUCUUUCUGUCAAACAAGAUAUUAAAAGAGAUUUUCAAAACUGUGGGCCGGGUGCAGUGGCUCACGCCUGUAAUCACAGUACUUUGGAAGGCCGAGGUGGG